CAGCCGCCGCGGGAAUACGUAGGGUGCAAGCGUUAAUCGGAAUUACAGGGCGUAAAGCGUGCGCAGGCGGUUAUGUAAGUCAGAUGUGAAAUCCCCGGGCUCAACCUGUGAACUGCAUUUGAGACUGUAUGGCUAGAGUGUGUCAGAGGGGGGUAGAAUUCCACGUGUAGCAGUGAAAUGCGUAGAUAUGUGGAGGAAUACCGAUGGCGAAGGCAGCCCCCUGGGAUAACACUGACGCUCAUGCACGAAAGCGUGGGGAGCAAACAGGAUUAGAUACCCCCGUAGUCCCUGUCUCUUAUAC
rnacentral:rRNA from 1 species